GGGAUUGCCUCAGUAACGGCGAGUGAAGCGGCAACAGCUCAAAUUUGAAAUCUGGCCCCUUCGGGGUCCGAAUUGUAAUUUGUAGAGAGUGCUUCGGGCGAGGCCUCGGUCUAAGUCCAUUGGAACAUGGUGUCAUAGAGGGUGAGAAUCCCGUAUGCGACCGUGGCUCGAGCCCAUGUGAAGCCUCUUCGACGAGUCGAGUUGUUUGGGAAUGCAGCUCAAAAUGGGUGGUAAAUUUCAUCUAAAGCUAAAUACUGGCUGGAGACCGAUAGCGCACAAGUAGAGUGAUCGAAAGAUGAAAAGCACUUUGGAAAGAGAGUCAAACAGUACGUGAAAUUGUUGAAAGGGAAGCGCUUGCAACCAGACCUGCCCGUAGGCGAUCAGCCGCUGUUCUCAGCGGUGUACUCGCUCUGCGAUCAGGCCAGCAUCGGUUUCGGCGGUCGGAUAAAGGCCUUGGGAAUGUAGCUUCCCUCCGGGGGAGUCUUAUAGCCCUCGGUGCAAUGCGACCAGCCGGGACCGAGGACCGCGCUUCGGCUAGGAUGCUGGCGUAAUGGUUGUAAGCGACCCGUCUUGAAACACGGACCAAGGAGUCUAACAUCUAUGCGAGUGUUUGGGUGUCAAACCCAUGCGCGGAAUGAAAGUGAACGGAGGUGAGAACCCUUAAGGGCGCAUCAUCGACCGAUCCAGAUGUCUUCGGAUGGAUUUGAGUAUGAGCAUAGCUGUUGGGACCCGAAAGGUGUGUUAAAUCCCUCCGAAUGGUGUAAAUUAUAAGGAAUCAUAUGCUAACUUUUUUAAUAGAUGGUGAACUAUGCCUGAAUAGGGUGAAGCCAGAGGAAACUCUGGUGGAGGCUCGCAGCGGUUCUGACGUGCAAAUCGAUCGUCAAAUUUGGGUAUAGGGGCGAAAGACUAAUCG
rnacentral:rRNA from 1 species